GGCAGGCUUAACACAUGCAAGUCGAGCGGGGAGAAGUAGCUUGGUACAUUACCUGGCGGGGGAAGGGUGAGUAAAGCUUAGGAAUUUGCCUAUUAGUGGGGGACAACAUUUCGAAAGGAAUGCUAAUACCGCAUACGCCCUACGGGGGAAAGCAGGGGAUUUUUGGACCUUGCGGUAAUAGAUGAGCCUAAGUCAGAUUAGCUAGUUGGUGGGGUAAAGGCCUACCAAGGGGACGAUUUGUAGCGGGUUUGAGAGGAAGAUUCGCCACACUGGGAAUGAGACACGGCCCAGAAUCCUACGGGAGGCAGCCGUGGGGAAUAUUGGACCAAAGGGGGAAAACCUGAUCCCGCCCUGCCGCGUGUGUGAAGAAGGCCUUUUGGUUGUAAAACCCUUUAAGCGAGGAAGAGGGUAAUUGGAAUAAUAAUUUAGGAUAGUGGACGUUACUCGCCGAAAUAAGCCCCGGCUAAAU
rnacentral:rRNA from 1 species